CACGUAGGGCGCGAGCGUUGUCCGGAAUUAUUGGGCGUAAAGAGCUCGUAGGCGGUGUGUCGCGUCGGCCGUGAAAACCUGUGGCUUAACUAUGGGCUUGCGGUCGAUACGGGCAUCACUGGAGUUCGGCAGGGGAGACUGGAAUUCCUGGUGUAGCGGUGGAAUGCGCAGAUAUCAGGAGGAACACCGGUGGCGAAGGCGGGUCUCUGGGCCGAUACUGACGCUGAGGAGCGAAAGCGUGGGGAGCGAACAGG
rnacentral:rRNA from 1 species